GCACAAGCGGCGGAGCAUGCGGAUUAAUCGAUGCAACGCGAAGAACCUUACCAAGGCUUGACAUACACCGGUAACGCCCAGAGAUGGGUGCCCCUUUGUGGUCGGUGUACAGGUGGUGCAUGGUUGUCGUCAGCUCGUGUCGUGAGAUGUUGGGUUAAGUCCCGCAACGAGCGCAACCCUCGUCCUAUGUUGCCAGCGGGUCAUGCCGGGGACUCAUGGGAGACUGCCGGGGUCAACUCGGAGGAAGGUGGGGAUGACGUCAAAUCAUCAUGCCCCUUAUGUCUUGGGCUUCACGCAUGCUACAAUGGCCGGUACAAAGGGCUGCGAUACCGCGAGGUGGAGCGAAUCCCAGAAAGCCGGUCUCAGUUCGGAUUGGGGUCUGCAACUCGACCCCAUGAAGUCGGAGUCGCUAGUAAUCGCAGAUCAGCAACGCUGCGGUGAAUACGUUCCCGGGCCUU
rnacentral:rRNA from 1 species